CCUACGGGGGGCUGCAGUGGGGAAUAUUGGACAAUGGGGGCAACCCUGAUCCAGCCAUGCCGCGUGUGUGAAGAAGGCCCUCGGGUUGUAAAGCACUUUCAGUGAGGAAGAACGCCUGGUGGUUAAUACCCAUCAGGAAAGACAUCACUCACAGAAGAAGCACCGGCUAACUCCGUGCCAGCAGCCGCGGUAAUACGGAGGGUGCGAGCGUUAAUCGGAAUUACUGGGCGUAAAGCGCGCGUAGGUGGCUUGAUAAGCCGGUUGUGAAAGCCCCGGGCUCAACCUGGGAACGGCAUCCGGAACCGUCAAGCUAGAGUGCAGGAGAGGAAGGUAGAAUUCCCGGUGUAGCGGUGAAAUGCGUAGAGAUCGGGAGGAAUACCAGUGGCGAAGGCGGCCUUCUGGACUGACACUGACACUGAGGUGCGAAAGCGUGGGUAGCAAACAGGAUUAGAUACCCCAGUUC
rnacentral:rRNA from 1 species